AGGAUGAUAGAUUAGAAAAUAAUAUUAGAAUAGAAUAAGUAGGGGUUCAGGGGUUGGGCUCUUAAUAAUAAGGGUAGGGUUGAUUGCUAGAUAAAUUUUUCCCAAUAGUAUUAGCAGAUAGUCGAGCUUUACACAGUAACACACCUUGGAUAAAACUCAUUGGUUACGAUAUUGCCACUGCGCAAAGCUGGGAGAGGAUUUAGAUAUUUAAGCUAUACACCUAAUAAGCAGGACAAAGACAAGUGAGGGCAUCUUUGUUAGAAUACCAGGCAAGUGAGGUUGCCUGGGCAGGUAUAUUAUAGGUCAGGUAAAAUAACCAAGAUCAGUAUGCAUGAUAUGUCAAACAGUCAAUUGGGUUAUACCCAUGUCAUUCCAGUAUGACAGACAAAGCAGUAUGGCAGAAGAGUUUUCUACACCCAACAUGCAGCCCCUUAAUACCAAUGUGCUCUUGUGCAGGGCUUCUUCCUGGAAGGUGCACGCUGGGAUCGUGAACAACAUUGCUUGGCGGAGAUGUCAGCCAAGCAGCUACAUGACCAGUUACCUAUCAUCCUUUUCCAACCUGCUGCCCUCCCAGACAUGUCACACCAUGAGGGUGUGAGCUGUAAAUAUGAAGACCAGGCAGAAGAGAAAGGCAUGUACCACUGCCCUGUGUACCGCACCAGCGAGCGGAGUGGCACACUCUCCACCACAGGACAUUCCUCCAAUUAUAUCCUUGAUUUGAUCCUGCCUUCCUCCCUCCCAUGCCACCACUGGGUCAGUCGUGCAGCAGCAGCCCUUACCCAAUUAGAUGACUGAACCCCAUGUAUUUAUCAGCAAGUCAUCUUCAACUAACUGAAUGACUGAAGAUCAUUUGCAUACGUCACCCAACUGAAUGGUCUAUACUCUACUAUGAAUGAGCUGGAUGACUGAACUCCAUCUACAUGCCACCAUUUCUCAGUUGGAUAAGUGAACAUCAUCUUAAUUUGUAAUCACUCAGAAGGAUGAGAACUUCGUAACACAUUACUACCAUCCAGUUGGAAGCCAAACCAACAUCCACACCAUAUGACAACAGACUGGCUAACCUAAAGUAAACCAUAUCUUCUCCAACUAAA